rnacentral:lncRNA from 1 species
UAAUAAGCCAAGGAGGGUCGCUUAAUCAGUACAAAACGCCGAGAUGUGUUAAGUCCAACAGUGCUAUGCUCAAGCUCUUGGACGGCCACGUGACCGGUUCCUUCUCUAGCCCUCGUGAUCCAACCUGGUCCCCUUGAUGUCGAACGUAUGUAUUGAUCGGAGAGACUAUAAUUUACUAAUCAGUAUUCGGUAAUAACCAAAUGGGAUCGGAUUUGCUGUAAUGCUAGCAGUAGCAGGCAUGUAAUGCUACUACCUGAUUGAUUAAAAAAUGUUAUAAGAAACUUCAUUUACCGAGUUAUCUAUCUCUUAUAGUUCCUUUCAGUUUCUCGUCGCAUAAUAUAACUUUAGUACCGAGUUACUUAUAUCGUAUGAUUUACAAUAUAUUAAGGAAUUUUAAGACGAUCAUCAUCCUCAAGCCCUCUUGAAACAAAAGCUACUGUGGGAUUCUUUUUUUGUAUUCUCUGGCAUGGCUUCUGAGGAAGAGUUGUAUUCAUUGGGUGUUUGAAGUGUGUUUCCCGGCCCAAACAUAUAACACAAGAGUCCAAUCUGUUUAUCCAACUGUCGUUGGUUACAAAUUUAAUUACAUCAUCAUCCACUUUGUCGGCACUUAAUCUUAUCAGGAUCAUGGAUAAAUGCCAUGUGAUCUGUGAACAUGGCUUCUUAACGGACAGAAACCCCACGUACGCUGUCUCCCAAAACUUGAUUCGGAUAAUACUGAAAUGAAAAAGCAAUUAUUAUGAUUGUUUUUUGAUUUUUCUCUUGUGUUGAACAUAUAUAGUCAGCCAAAAGACAUGAAGCGCAUCUGGUGUAGUGGUAUCAUAGUACCCUCCCACGGUACUGACCAGGGUUCGAUUCCCUGGAUGCGCAUUUUUUUGUGCAAGAGUGUUCCGGUUUGGUUUGCAUAGGUUUUUUGGGCUUGGUUAAGGAUUAGUAGUGGAAACUGGCUUAGAUGCAUUCAGAUUAUCCAUCUCUUGGCCUAGAUUCCCAGUUAGUCUCUUAAACUUAUGCUCCUCUCUUUCCAUUUUCUUUAACUGGAAGGGAACCAAUUAAGAUCAUGAGCUCUUGUCUCAUUAAUUAGAAGGAAGAGGUCUUGUUAAGCCGAAAGGUCUAGAGUUCUACAAGAACUAAUAUAUUCAGUAUUGGAGGCUACAAAAAUGGGGGGUACAAAACCACCUGGUCGUUGUUCGGCCUGCUUCUCAGGGAACUCUUCCACUGAACCAUAUAUGGUAGCACAUAACUUGCUGCUUGCCCACGCCUCUGCUUCUAGACUAUAUAAGCAAAAGUACAAGGUAAUAUUUCAAAGUCCGGUAAUUGAAUAUGAUAAAGCUUAUUGUUUAGCUGCAUGAUCUCAGUUGUUUUAUUGCACAGCAUACACACAACACAUAAAAAAAAGAGCAGGAGGUACAUAACCUAAUAAUAAUGAUAAUAAGCAACAAAGGAACAAAUCAUUUAUGUCAAACGAAGGAAAAAUCUCAGGGAUGUAACAAAAGCACCAUAUGUCACUGCUUCUGGAGGUGAAGAACCUUAACCCAAGCAGGCCUGGCAGUGAUCUUCUUGAUCCACUCCUUAACCUUAGGGCGAGACUCAAAGAGCUUCUUGGAGUCGGUACCCAUCAAGUAAUAGAUGAUUGGGAGGUGGUGAAGAUCAGCCAGAGUGAAGCAAUCACCAGCCAAGAAGGGUGAUUUGGAGAGCCUGGCCUCGUAGAUAUCCAAGACCUUCACCAACUUAGCUUCGAGGUCUUCCACAGCGGCAGGGUCAGUGGUCAUGCCAAGCAUGCCUUUGAAGACACGCUCGAAGGCUAGCUUAGAGGCGAUAGGGUCAAACUGUUGACCUUCAACUUGAAGCCAGACCUUUGUGGUGGCCUUGAGUUUCUUGCAGCCUUGGCAGAGAAGCUUCUCGCCUUUGUCGCUGUACUCCUCCGCUAUGUACUCUGUGAUGGCUCUUGACUCUGAAAAACAAAAAUGAAUUCAUGUGUAUCAUUGAUACUUAACCAACACGUAAUGAAAACAGAUUAAGAAAAAAAAGGAACUAACCGAAAAGCGUCAGAUCACCGUCUAGGAGAGCAGGGAUUUGACCGAAGGGCUAAAAAAAAGAAAAAGGAAAGAGCAGAGUGGUCAGAUAUGUGAAUGUGAUGAUGAAAACCAAAUUAACCAAAGCUGUGUAGAGAGUUAUUACGUACGUUGAGGGAGAUGAGAGGCUCCUGCUUGUGAGCACCGGCUUUCAUGUCGACGGGGACUAUCUCGAAAUCGAGGCCCUUCUCGUAAAGAGUAGCCAGAACGCGCAUUGUGGCCGUUGAUAUUGGAAGUCCGUGUACUUUGAUGCCGCCGCCCAUGCUUAUAAGCUUUUAAUUGGAUCUGAAGGGGUGAAUGGUGGUGCAUGGUGUUUUAUAGGUGGAGGAGGAGGCAAGGCAAGAGAAGAAUAAGUCGUUGUUGCCAUUCUUUUCGUUUGCACAAACUUCUCACCACCACAUCACCACGUCUCCUCUUCCUCCUCCUUCUCCCACUUUCUCUCUGUUUAUUUGUAACCUCUAUUUUUUUUUUUUAUCGUUUUAACCCAUUUGGUUUUGUAACUACAGAUUCAUAUACAUACAUAAAAUAAAUAAAGAAGUUAACGUUGGUUAUGCCCCCAUGCAUGUUUAAGAAAAGUAAUUUAAUAUUUCAUGCAUGGUAUCAGGUAUCAAUCCACCAAAUUUGUUUAACGAUGGUAACGUUUUAAAUUUGAUUUAUAUCCGAAUUUAACGUUUAGGAUGGUUAUACCUAAUAUCAGUCAACAAAAAGAUAAAAUAAAAUAGAUAGAUAGAUAUAUAUUAGCGCCUAUUCAAAUCACAAAACAACAAGUGUAGGUCGGUGUAUAUGGGGUACAUAAAAAAAAUAUGUGGUGGAGGCAUAUGUUGGGUAUAAUAAUUACACCAAUCAAAAGAGAGCAUAAUCUAACGAGGACCAUCCACGUAAUAAAAAAAUAUCGCAUUCAUUCCUUACUCUUUCAGUUGUACUUGUAUACAAACUCCUUUCUAAAUUUUAUAAUCGGGAUCGAUCUCUCUUUCUCUGAAACAUUUUGGAAACUUCUAGGUAAGGCUUCUUCAUUCCAAAGCAAGACCACAAUUUUUCUUCAUGGCCACCGGAGAGGAGAAACCUGUUAUGGUCGUCGGUAUCGACGAAAGCGAGCAGAGCACUUACGCCUUGGAGUGGACCCUCGAUCGUUUCUUCACUCCCUACGCUCCUAAUUUUCCUUUCAAGCUCUUCAUCGUCCACGCCAAACCUAACGCCGUCUCUGCCGUUGGUCUUGCUGGUCCCGGUACCCUCUUUUGAUUGACUAGCUAGGAACUGUCUUCUUCUAUCUAGGUUUCUCUGUUUCAGAUAUAUAUCAUUUGCGGUUUCUUUUUUCUUUUUAGGAGCUGCGGAGGUUCUGCCUUAUGUUGAUACCGAUUUGAAGCAUAUUGCUGCCAGGGUUAUCGAGAUGGCUAAAGGUAUCUGUCAGAGCAAAUCGGUAAGUAUUCACUCAUUAAUUCUUCGACUAUUUCAUAAAGGAUAAUUAUAAGAGAGCGUAUACAAUGAUGUUUCAAUGUUUGAUGAGCUAUAUUUGUUUUGAAUCUCUACAUCAUUCAAGCUUAGAUACUCCUUAUAGUUUUUUCCUUCUUUACUUUAUAAUUGAUCUUUUAUAUUUUUUUGUUUUUUUUUGUAAAAGUAAUUUAUCUAUUUUUAGUUACGUACUAGCUUCUUCUCAAUCAUUGAUUCUCUAGGUUUGUGCCGUGUAGGUUAAUGGCGCUAUGUUCGAAGUUUUUGAAGGUGAUGCAAGAAGUAUACUGUGCGAUGUUGUGGAUAAACAUCAUGCUUCUCUUCUUGUCGUGGGAAGCCAUGGUUAUGGAGCUAUCAAGAGGUAUAUAAUAUCUUUGUGUAUUUAAUUAUUAUAAUACUCACAAUCAUCAAUCUUGACUAUUUUUCUCGGCUUUAAUUCCCGACUCCUAUCACAGGGCGGUUCUAGGGAGCGUGAGCGACUACUGUGCUCAUCAUGCUCAUUGCUCGGUGAUGAUCGUGAAGAAGCCUAAGAUCAAGCACUGAUGAUCACCUAAACCCAAGCUGUUAUAUCAGUCAAAGCAAAGCAAAGUCUCAUCUGCAUAGUCGUCAGUUUCGGUGAAAUGAAAUAAAAUUGUGAAACGAUCCAAUCUAUAUAUUAAUAUUCGUGUGUAAAUUGGUUAUUGUAUUCAUAAACUAUUUUAUAUAUUGACGUUUGAUAAUACUAUUGUGGUUAUCUGCUUACCUACAAACAAGUAAACAAAAUAAGUUUUAAAAAACCUCAUAUGAGUGAGAAGACUGUUAUGGAUGAAUAUUGUUGGCUAAUGAUUCAGGGACAUGGAUAUAUCCGAAUAAAAUAAAAAAAAGAGAAGUGUUGAGACCAAUGUCAUUGUCUGGUUUUCAACAAGGGGAGGCAUGAUGACAUAUAUGUGAAAAAAGAUUAUUACCGCAUCGGCUUUCGAAAAGGCAGACUAAUUCGGAGAGAGAGAGAGAGCGACUGAGAUGAUUUUUGUUUGACAUUUUUCGAAAACGAGAUUUUUUUUGUUGUGUUCCGUCCGAUUGAGGCUUGGUGGAGACAUGGCCGGAGCUAAUGAUGAUGAUUAUGAUCGUAACAACCGCCGGAUUGCUAACUGAUAUAUUUCAAGGACAAAGCUAAUACCCAUUUCUGGGUAUGCAAAUAUGGCUAACCCACUAUAAAUACACAUUCUUGUUUUGAGUCCUGAGGCAUUCAUCACCUCUCUUCUUCUUCAUCCUUCUUCUAUAUUUUUUCUUUGGUUUAAGCUGGGAAAUGGAUGUACUGAAGUUUGAUUACAACCACAAGGGUGACAAUGCAUUAAAGGAGCUCGAGAGGAUCACCUCGAAGGCUGCUGAAGUCCAAGAUAAUAUGUUAAGUGGGAUCUUAGAAAGAAACAAGGACACACAGUACUUGAGAAAGUACAUGAAAGGCUCUAAGGACGUUAUGGAGUUUAAACGCUCUGUGCCAGUCAUCACGUACAAAGAUGUAUGUCCUUACAUUCAGAGAAUUGCAAAUGGAGAAGACUCUUCUCUGAUUACUGGUCAUCCUAUCACUGAGAUACUAUGCAGGUCGAUUUUUAUUUCUAGCCUGAAUCUCUUUCUUAGUAACAGCCUCCCCUUCCUUUGUGUUUGAAUAUAAAUUUGUGUAUGGCUAAAUAAAUGUAUCUGCUUGCUUUCAUGUUGCAGCUCAGGAACUUCUGGUGGAGAGCCGAAGCUAAUGCCAACCAUUUCGGAAGAUCUUGAUCGGCGCACCUUUGUCUACAAUCUUAUCAAUCCAAUCGCGAACAAGUUAGUACAAUGUUUCCUGUUAAUAUUCAGUCCUGAUAUACUUUAACAUCCUCCUUGUUGCUCUUAUAAGAGUAGUGAUUAGUGAAGAAGGAAUUACAUCUUCCAUGCACAUGAAUAUUUACUUGAUAAAAAACAAAGUGGCUGAUCUCAUAUUCCAUAAAAGAACCACUAGGACUGUUCCUGUAGUUGUAGGAUAGUGGAUAUGUCUCAAAAUCUGACCUAUGGAAGUGGAAGUACACAUCACAUCACAAUUCCUCCAUGUUAUUAUCCACUGGAAACAUUUAAUAAAAAAGGAAAAAAAUUAAAAAGGUUAACGAUAGGCUUCAAUGUGAAUAUGGCUUCAUAAUCAUUGUAGGCACUAACAUAUGGAAUCUGGAUACACAUGCAUAGAUGUACUGGCCGUGGUACCAAUAAAUCUUCAUAGUAGGUUGCUCACUAAGGAAGUUUGCUUUCUGCUUUGAGUUUUGUGUUUGCUUUUUGUGGAAAUUAAGUGGUAUCAUGUCAUGUACUAUAAAGUUUGCAUCCAUCAUCUUUUAUCCACACGCCAUUUUGAUGUCCCCACCCAAAGAUUCUCUGAGAAUUUUGAACAGCACUUACUAAACCUCAAGAAUCUUUUCAUAUCCACUACUGAUUUUUCUUUUCUUUCAUUUUACCUCUUUUACCAUCGUCUCUCUUUACUAUGUUUUUGACUGAGAUUUAUUAUAUGUAUUACUGACAGGUAUCUAGAAGGACUUGACAAAGGAAAAACAAUGUACCUAAACUUCGUCAAAGCUGAAACAUCAACUCCUUGUGGUUUACCAAUCAGAACUGUCCUCACUAGCUACUACAAGAGCAAACAUUUCCAGUGCCGACCUUACGAUCCAUUCAACGACUUAACCAGUCCCAUCCAAACCAUCCUUUGUGAAGACAGCAACCAAAGCAUGUACUGUCAGUUACUUGCCGCUCUUAUUCACCGUCACAAAGUCAUGCGUCUCGGAGCUGUCUUCGCUUCAGCCUUUCUCCGUGCAAUCUCUUAUCUCGAGCGAAAAUGGAGCCAGCUCUGCCAAGACAUCCGCACCGGCCAUCUCAGUCCCAUGAUCACCGAUCCAGGAUGCCAGACGGCUAUGACUUCUCUUCUAGCCUCGCCAAAUCCUGACUUAGCUGACGAGGUUGAAGAAAUCUGUGGACGCCCGUCGUGGAAAGGGAUUCUGUGUCAACUCUGGCCUCAAGCAAAGUUCAUUGAAGCAGUAGUGACAGGCUCAAUGGCUCAGUACAUACCAGCGCUUGAGUUCUUUAGCCAAGGCAAGAUUCCGUUGGUUUGUCCAAUGUAUGCUUCCUCCGAGACUUACUUUGGAGUCAACGUGAAGCCACUCUCCAAGCCAUCUGACGUCGUUUUCACGCUCUUGCCCAACAUGUGCUACUUCGAGUUCAUUCCUCUCGGCAAAAACGGAACUCUCUCUUUUGACGUAGAGGACGAAGAAGUCGUCCCCUGUGACAAAGUGGUUGACUUGGUCGACGUCAAACUCGGACGCUACUAUGAACUCGUCGUCACAACCUUCGCAGGUAAAGAAACUGGUGGCAUUGUCUUCUCCUUUUUAGUCAGCUCUGACUCUUGCAUGGAAACAGGAUUGUACCGUUACAGAAUCGGCGAUGUCCUUCAAGUGGCGGGGUUCUACAACAAAGCACCACAGUUCAGGUUUAUCUGCAGGAGAAACGUGGUUCUAAGCAUCGACUUAGACAAAACCAACGAGGAAGAUCUUCACAGGAGCAUCACGCUGGCCAAGAAGAAGCUUGAAAACAAGGCAUUCCUCGCGGAGUACACGAGCUACGCGGAUACUUCAUCAGUGCCAGGUCACUACGUGCUCUUCUGGGAGAUCCAAUGGCUCGAACCUGAUGAUGAGGAGGAGAAGCUGCUGAUGGAAGAGUGUUGCAUUGCGGUUGAGGAAGAGCUGGAUUACAUAUACAGGCAAUGCAGGAAGAGAGAUAGAUCGGUGGGGCCUUUAGAGAUAAGAGUGGUGAAGCCAGGGACGUUCGAGAAGCUGAUGGAUAUGAUAAUAAGCCAAGGAGGGUCGCUUAAUCAGUACAAAACGCCGAGAUGUGUUAAGUCCAACAGUGCUAUGCUCAAGCUCUUGGACGGCCACGUGACCGGUUCCUUCUCUAGCCCUCGUGAUCCAACCUGGUCCCCUUGAUGUCGAACGUAUGUAUUGAUCGGAGAGACUAUAAUUUACUAAUCAGUAUUCGGUAAUAACCAAAUGGGAUCGGAUUUGCUGUAAUGCUAGCAGUAGCAGGCAUGUAAUGCUA